UACGAAGGGGGCUAGCGUUGCUCGGAAUCACUGGGCGUAAAGGGCGCGUAGGCGGCGUUUUAAGUCGGGGGUGAAAGCCUGUGGCUCAACCACAGAAUGGCCUUCGAUACUGGGACGCUUGAGUAUGGUAGAGGUUGGUGGAACUGCGAGUGUAGAGGUGAAAUUCGUAGAUAUUCGCAAGAACACCGGUGGCGAAGGCGGCCAACUGGACCAUUACUGACGCUGAGGCGCGAAAGCGUGGGGAGCAAGCAGG
rnacentral:rRNA from 1 species